rnacentral:rRNA from 1 species
UACGUAGGGGGCUAGCGUUGUUCGGAAUCACUGGGCGUAAAGCGCACGUAGGCGGAUUGUUAAGUCGGGGGUGAAAUCCUGAGGCUCAACCUCAGAACUGCCUUCGAUACUGGCGAUCUUGAGUCCGGAAGAGGUUGGUGGAACAGCUAGUGUAGAGGUGAAAUUCGUAGAUAUUAGCUAGAACACCAGUGGCGAAGGCGGCCAACUGGUCCGGAACUGACGCUGAGGUGCGAAAGCGUGGGGAGCAAACAGG